GACGAACGCUGGCGGCGUGCUUAACACAUGCAAGUCGAACGGUAAGGCCCGAGUUUGCUUGUGUACACCAGUGGCGAACGUGGGAGUAACACGAGAGUCACCUGCCCGAGACUCCGGGAUAAUGGCUGGAAACUGGGGCUAAUACCGGAUAUGACCGAUAUGUGCAUAGUGUGGUGUGGGUAGUGUUCGUCGGUUGGUGUGCGGUCGGGGGUGCGCCCGCGGGUUAUGCGCUUGUUGGUGGGCUAAUGGCUUACCAAGGCGGCGACGGGGAGCCGGCCUGGGAGGGUGGACGGCCACACUGGGACUGCGACUAGGCCCAGACUCCUACGGGAGGCAGCAGUGGGGAAUAUUGCACAAUGGGCGGAAGCCUGAUGCAGCAACGCCGCGUGGGGGAUGACGGCCUUCGGGUUGUAAACCGCUUUCACCAUGGACGAAGCGUUAGUGACGGUAGUUGGAGAAGAAGCACCGGCUAACUACGUG
rnacentral:rRNA from 1 species